ACUGGCAUGAUGAUGAUGAUUUCCUUUUGCCGUUUACCCAUCUGAAUGUGUUGAUGUACAUGUUCAAAUCUGAGAUGCCAGU
ensembl:snoRNA